rnacentral:rRNA from 1 species
CAUGACCAGAUAAGGACCGCUGCGUCGACGCGGCCAAGCGCGAGCGUAGGAGCUUAGCUCUUCAAUCGAGCGGCGGACGGGUGAGUAACACGUGGGCAACCUACCCUUUAGACUGGGAUAACUACCGGAAACGGUAGCUAAUACCGGAUAAGUUGUAACGACAUAAGUCUGUAACAAUGAAAGGCGGAUUUAUCUGUCACUAAAGGAUGGGCCUGCGGUGCAUUAGCUAGUUGGUGAGGUAGUGGCUCACCAAGGCGACGAUGCAUAGCCGACCUGAGAGGGUGAUCGGCCACACUGGGACUGAGACACGGCCCAGACUCCUACGGGAGGCAGCAGUAGGGAAUCUUCCGCAAUGGACGAAAGUCUGACGGAGCAACGCCGCGUGAGUGAAGAAGGGUUUCGGCUCGUAAAACUCUGUUGUUAAGGAAGAACACUUUAGGUAGUAACUGGCCUAGAGAUGACGGUACUUAACCAGAAAGCCACGGCUAACUACGUGCCAGCAGCCGCGGUAAUACGUAGGUGGCAAGCGUUAUCCCGGAAUUAUUGGGCGUAAAGCGCGCGUAGGCGGUAGAAUAAGUCUGAUGUGAAAGCCCCCGGCUCAACCGGGGAGGGUCAUUGGAAACUGUUUUACUUGAGUGCAGAAGAGGAGAGUGGAAUUCCAUGUGUAGCGGUGAAAUGCGCAGAGAUAUGGAGGAACACC